rnacentral:ribozyme from 1 species
UCCCCGAACCAACCAAAAAGGGGUUUGAGUUUUCUUUAGGAUUCAAAAAAAAAAAUCCGAAAAAAAACGAAGGAGAUUUAUCGUUUGGGUAUACUUAUAUUUCAGAAAUAGUAAAAAAGAUUGAAAUAACC